GAGGCCCAUGCACUAAAGACCACACGCUCCAUUGAACAUUUAUGGCUGCAAAUGGCUCCUCCGUGCAGGUGAGGACAUGGAAGCACAGGGAGGUUAUGCCACUCGCCCAAAGACAACUAAUCAGUGACAGCUGAGACUUGGACUGCAGAACCUACACUUUAUAACUAUUUUACAGUUCUGGGCGUCACGGAAUCUUGCAUGAAGAGCCCCUAACCUGGCCCGGGUGGAGGUCAGGGAGGUCUUCCUGGAAGAGGGGGUUCUUGGCAGCAACUUGCUGGAUUUGGUGUUCCCUGUUGGUUGGCUCUGCUUCCUCAGUGUCAGCAUCAUUCACAGCAGGCAUGUCCCUCCUGCCUCCAAGAGAGUCACCAGCAGCUUCCUCCUCCACAUCUAGAGAUAUUAUUCCCCCCAUUUCAUGGAGGAGGAAACUGACGAUCAGAGCAGCCAGGAAACAGGAUGGCGUUGUCUGCUGAGGGACGGUGUGUUCCCUGGAGAGGAGAUCCAGCUUGCCAUUGUGGGUUUCUUACAGCAAAAAUCCUGUGUGUACACAUAUGCUGAACAAGGCGCACACAGUCUUCAUACUUCUUUCCCCAAAUCCACUGUUGUACCUCACUCUGGAAACCAAAGAAUACAAAUGGAGAUGAGGCUAAUUUUUGCCCCUCAAAUUGGCAAAGGUGAAUAAAACCAUGUUUCUUGGGCUGUG
rnacentral:lncRNA from 1 species